rnacentral:lncRNA from 1 species
UUUGUAGCAUGAAUGAGACAAAACAGCCUAAUUUCAAAAGAAAAGUGGCCCAUUAAUGUACCAAAAAAAAAAAAAAGUUUGGCCUAGAUACAGCCCAACCCGUAACAAACUACCCGUCUGACCCGUUAUCCGCUUAACCCGAACCCGCUUUACCCGAACCCCAAAACCAGAUUGAUUUGGGCCAGUAGAUAUCACCCGUGGAUUGGGCCGGUUUGAGGUUUUGGGCCCAUACCGACCCAAACCGGCCCGUUGUCCACCCCUAGUU